CUCUGCAGUGCUCAACGAAGAGCAGACACAGUUUCUUAAAGAGCUGGUGGAGCCUGUGUCCCGUUUCUUCGAGGAAGUGAACGAUCCUGCCAAGAAUGACGCUCUGGAGAUGGUGGAGGAGACCACUUUGCAGGGCCUCAAGGAGCUGGGGGCCUUUGGUCUGCAAGUGCCCAGUGAGCUGGGUGGUGUGGGCCUUUGCAACACCCAGUACGCCCGUUUGGUGGAGAUCGUGGGCAUGCAUGACCUUGGCGUGGGCAUUACCCUGGGGGCCCAUCAGAGCAUCGGUUUCAAAGGCAUCCUGCUCUUUGGCACAAAGGCCCAGAAAGAAAAAUACCUCCCCAAACUGGCAUCUGGGGAGGCUGUGGCCGCUUUCUGUCUAACCGAGUCCUCAAGCGGGUCAGAUGCAGCCUCCAUCCGAACCUCUGCUGUGCCCAGCCCCUGUGGAAAAUACUAUACCCUUAAUGGAAGCAAGCUUUGGAUCAGGCAAUCUGCCU
rnacentral:sRNA from 1 species